rnacentral:rRNA from 1 species
UACGUAGGGUGCAAGCGUUAAUCGGAAUUACUGGGCGUAAAGCGUGCGCAGGCGGCUUUGCAAGACAGAUGUGAAAUCCCCGGGGCUUAAACCUGGGAACUGCCAUUUGUGACUGCAUGGCUGGAGUGCGGCAGAGGGGGAUGGAAUUCCGCGUGUAGCAGUGAAAUGCGUAGAUAUGCGGAGGAACACCGAUGGCGAAGGCAAUCCCCUGGGCCUGCACUGACGCUCGAUGCACGAAAGCGUGGGGAGCAAACAGG